rnacentral:rRNA from 1 species
GCAGAAUGCAGCGCGUUGCACCUUUCGAGGCGAUUUCGUGUUUGCUUCUGCAUUCUAGUGACUGCUUAACACACUUCACUGUGCUUUAAGUUGUUGCUAGCUUUUACUUUGAGAAAAUUAGAGUGUUUCAAGCAGGCUUUUGCCUUGAAUACUGCAGCAUGGAAUAAUAAUAUAGGACUUUAGUUCUAUGUUAUUGGUUCAAGAACUGAAGUA